GGUUCGAAAAUUAAUUCUAUCAUAUUAAAUUGCAAGACACAUGAGAUAUGUAUACAACUGAUACUAGGUUGAAGCUGGAAUCCAACUGCCUAGGCCCAAUGGCCCAGGUCAGACUUGCUUGAAUGAGCCCAAUACUUGAGUCUGCUUGCAAUUGCAACCUAGUUCGAAAUUCACAUACAUCUCCCAAACAUAUUCAUUGCACCAAACAAAGAAAAUUUACUACUGUAAGCCUACUGAUAAUCGAGCUUAAGUUAAAAUUAACAGUCCAUUUACAGCAUUGAAAGUCCCAUAAUUUAUACAUUGAAGCCUUUAAUCAGUAUCCUAACAGCUAUUAUCUAAAGGAAAUUCUAAAAGAAAAGUAAAGAAGUACAAAAAAUUGAAAGCUUCUUCUGGUUUGAAAUUCCUUCCAUCAAUUUCUUCAAGACCAAAGCAUGAGAUCUGCAAGAGGUCAGCUACUGAGCUGCUUUUCACAAGUUGUUCUUAGACUCCCAACCUGAAGUUUCUUACUACCAAAUCAACCUCUGUUUUCUAAGUAUUUUUUUUAUGGAUCUAACCAUGUGAAAAAGUCAAAUUCAUAAAAAACUACUUCAGUUAUACUAACAUUCUAUACUGUCAGGCCCAACACUUAUACACCUAAUGCAGAAAACAGUAACGAUUCAUGAGUUUAACCAUGUUAAGUGUUAAACACAUGAAACACCACAAGUUUCAAGCUCAAAAUCAUGGCAGGCUGCUUUGGUGAAGUGCUAAAAUGAACUCAAAGGGAGUGAAAAAAAGGGAGGCUUAGUCUAUGGACCUGACCAUGUAGGGGUCAGGCUCAAUGAACCAGCCUGGUUUUGAGAAGGGGAAAGCUUGAACAUAUGGACUAAUCAUUGCAAGAAUAAAAGCAACGCAUACUAGCAGGAAAGAAUUAACACUAUCAAAGAGGUUAAAGCAUUAUUAUAGAAACUAGGGGUAAAGAAAUUCAAGCAUUUUUGAGAUAAAGAACAGCCAUAACACCAUUGCAAUUUCAACAUGCAAAACUCAACAAGACAUACAUGAACAGUGCCAAACAAGGAAAAACAACUCAUAUUCAUCUUAAGUCUCAAUUACAUAGCAGUCAAAAUAGGAAAAGAUUUACAUAUACCUUGACAGAGCAAUGAUAUAACAACUGCAAUGAGGGUAAGACUGUUGGAAAAGGUUCAGGAGCAGAAAGCAGCAGCAAUGACCAAACAGCUUUAGCAAAACUAAAGAAACCCCAAAAUUUCAAAACCAGAAUGCCACUUGAAAAGUCAAAAGUCCCAACAAAAACAUAAAAAUAUUCUUCUUUUCAACUCAUUUUCAGCUUGUUAACAGCAGGAGAUUUUUUUUUUUCUUUUUUUGAAGUUUUUCUAAGAUUUCCUUAAGUCUGAAAUUCAGAGAAGAAAGAAAUUUUUUCUGCAGAGAAUGGUGUUGAGUCCGUG
rnacentral:lncRNA from 1 species